rnacentral:lncRNA from 1 species
AAUAAAGCUAAAUAGGUUAUUUUAAAUAUGUAUACGUAUUAUAUAUGUAUAAACUGAUAAAUAGUAUACAAGAUCCAGAAAUAAAUUCAAUUAUUUCUGGAUCUUGUACAUCUUGUUCAUUGCACAUCCUGCACAUGUGCUUGGGAGAACUGGAUAAUUUACUGAAAGCCAAGGGAGGUAAGGGACCAAAAAGGUUGGGAACCCCUGAUCCAAAUGAUCUGAUAUCACUUUUCAGGCAUCAUAAACAUGCAUGGAAUAUAGUUUCCGGAAUAUUGUCAUUAAUUAUCACUGUUUUAUCCGAGAUAAUAAAUGAUUGAUCUAUUUUUAUUCUAUCUGAAAUGUUUGAAUUUAAUUAAGAGAUUGUAAGAUAAUUUGUAUUUUUGGCAAAAGUUGUGUUGGCAAUCUAGAAUUAGCAAUUAAAAAAUUAAAAAUUUAUGCAUAUUUUCUAAAAAAAACCCUAAAAUUCUGUUUCAUGCCAGUCAAAAGACUAUGCAGCUAGC